CCCGCCCCUACACCUGUCUCCGCCCCUACCCCAAGCCCCGCCCCUACACCUGUCUCCGCCCCUACCCCAAGCCCCGCCCCAACACCUGCCCCUACACCAAGCCCCGCCCCUACACCUGUCUCCGCACCAACCCCUGACCCCCUCCCUAAACCCGACCCCACCCCUACACCUGGCCCCGCCCCUAAACCCGACCCCGCCCCUACACCAUGCCCCGCCCCUGCACCUGGCCCCGCCCCUACAUCAUCCCAGACUUCAGAGCAAGAGAAACGGCCAACGACCCCAGGAGGAUCAAGGAAAGAGGUCAAAUGGGAGGACCAGCAGGCGAAAACAGCCCAAGUUGGAGUCCUUCCGGCUAAGGCAUCAGAGGGCGACGUAUCGUCUGGAGCCACCAGGGGCAGCGAGGCGUCCGACACCAUCAGCAGCUCUGAGGCCCCUCAGGGCCAAUCGGAAGACAGCGCGGGGGCGGGGUCAGACGGGGAGAGCAGACCGUCCCUAGAGAAGGGGGAGUCACUGGAGGGGGAGGACAUGGAGGAGGAGCCAGAGAAGCCCAAGGCCCCGCCCCCCAAGGCGCCCGCCGCGGCGGGGGAGAUCUGCUCUCUGGGGAGGAGGGACGACGAUGAUGACGAUGAGAAGAAGAGGAGGUCGAGCCUGGGCGCCCGGAUGAUGGGGAUGGUCGGCCUGGGGAAGAAGAGCUCCUCCCAGCCCAACCCAGAGGGUGAGUGCACCGCUUCAGACCGGUCCAAACCCGUUCAGACUGGUCCAAACCCGUUCAGACCGGUCAAAACCAUUUCAGACUGGUCCAAACCCGUUCAGACCAGUCCAAACCCUUUCAGACAAGGACAAAUAAAACCAGAUACAUAUGGUUUAAACCAGUUGGUCUGGAGAGGAAAAGAACACCUCACAGUGUAA
rnacentral:lncRNA from 1 species